rnacentral:rRNA from 1 species
UACGAAGGGAGCUAGCGUUGUUCGGAAUCACUGGGCGUAAAGCGCACGUAGGCGGAUGUGUCAGUCAGGGGUGAAAUCCCGGAGCUCAACUUCGGAACUGCCUUUGAUACAGCACGUCUUGAGUCCGAUAGAGGUGGGUGGAAUUCCUAGUGUAGAGGUGAAAUUCGUAGAUAUUAGGAAGAACACCGGUGGCGAAGGCGGCCCACUGGAUCGGUACUGACGCUGAGGUGC